rnacentral:rRNA from 1 species
CGGACGGGUGAGUAACACGUGGAUAACCUACCUAUAAGACUGGGAUAACUUCGGGAAACCGGAGCUAAUACCGGAUAAUAUAUUGAACCGCAUGGUUCAAUAGUGAAAGACGGUUUUGCUGUCACUUAUAGAUGGAUCCGCGCCGCAUUAGCUAGUUGGUAAGGUAACGGCUUACCAAGGCAACGAUGCGUAGCCGACCUGAGAGGGUGAUCGGUCACACUGGAACUGAGACACGGUCCAG